rnacentral:rRNA from 1 species
UGCAGUCGAACGAUGAAAGCUGGAGCUUGCUCUAGCUGGAUUAGUGGCGAACGGGUGAGUAACACGUGAGCAAUCUGCCCUGGACUCUGGGAUAACCCCGAGAAAUCGGAGCUAAUACCGGAUACGACACCUCCCGGCAUCGGGUGGGUGUGGAAAGAAUUUCGGUCCAGGAUGAGCUCGCGGCCUAUCAGCUUGUUGGUGAGGUAACGGCUCACCAAGGCGACGACGGGUAGCCGGCCUGAGAGGGUGACCGGCCACACUGGGACUGAGACACGGCCCAGACUCCUACGGGAGGCAGCAGUGGGGAAUAUUGCACGAUGGGCGCAAGCCUGAUGCAGCAACGCCGCGUGGGGGACGACGGCCUUCGGGUUGUAAACCUCUUUUAGUAGGGAAGAAGCGCAAGUGACGGUACCUACAGAAAAAGCACCGGCUAACUACGUGCCAGCAGCCGCGGUAAUACGUAGGGUGCAAGCGUUGUCCGGAAUUAUUGGGCGUAAAGAGCUCGUAGGCGGUUUGUCGCGUCUGCUGUGAAAAUCCGAGGCUCAACCUCGGACCUGCAGUGGGUACGGGCAAACUAGAGUGCGGUAGGGGAGAUUGGAAUUCCUGGUGUAGCGGUGGAAUGCGCAGAUAUCAGGAGGAACACCAAUGGCGAAGGCAGAUCUCUGGGCCGUAACUGACGCUGAGGAGCGAAAGCGUGGGGAGCGAACAGGAUUAGAUACCCUGGUAGUCCACGCCGUAAACGGUGGGAACUAGAUGUGGGGUCCGUUCCACGGAUUCCGUGUCGCAGCUAACGC